AUGCAAGUCGAACGGAAAGGCCCUUCGGGGUACUCGAGUGGCGAACGGGUGAGUAACACGUGGGUGAUCUGCCCUGCACUCUGGGAUAAGCCUGGGAAACUGGGUCUAAUACCGGAUAGGACCACACACUUCAUGGUGAGUGGUGCAAAGCUUUUGCGGUGUGGGAUGAGCCCGCGGCCUAUCAGCUUGUUGGUGGGGUAAUGGCCCACCAAGGCGACGACGGGUAGCCGGCCUGAGAGGGUGACCGGCCACACUGGGACUGAGAUACGGCCCAGACUCCUACGGGAGGCAGCAGUGGGGAAUAUUGCACAAUGGGCGCAAGCCUGAUGCAGCGACGCCGCGUGAGGGAUGACGGCCUUCGGGUUGUAAACCUCUUUCAGUAGGGACGAAGCGAAAGUGACGGUACCUACAGAAGAAGGACCGGCCAACUACGUGCCAGCAGCCGCGGUAAUACGUAGGGUCCGAGCGUUGUCCGGAAUUACUGGGCGUAAAGAGCUCGUAGGUGGUUUGUCGCGUUGUUCGUGAAAACUCACAGCUUAACUGUGGGCGUGCGGGCGAUACGGGCAGACUAGAGUACUGCAGGGGAGACUGGAAUUCCUGGUGUAGCGGUGGAAUGCGCAGAUAUCAGGAGGAACACCGGUGGCGAAGGCGGGUCUCUGGGCAGUAACUGACGCUGAGGAGCGAAAGCGUGGGUAGCGAACAGGAUUAGAUACCCUGGUAGUCCACGCCGUAAACGGUGGGUACUAGGUGUGGGUUUCCUUCCUUGGGAUCCGUGCCGUAGCUAACGCAUUAAGUACCCCGCCUGGGGAGUACGGUCGCAAGACUAAAACUCAAAGGAAUUGACGGGGGCCCGCACAAGCGGCGGAGCAUGUGGAUUAAUUCGAUGCAACGCGAAGAACCUUACCUGGGUUUGACAUGCACAGGACGUACCUAGAGAUAGGUAUUCCCUUGUGGCCUGUGUGCAGGUGGUGCAUGGCUGUCGUCAGCUCGUGUCGUGAGAUGUUGGGUUAAGUCCCGCAACGAGCGCAACCCUUGUCCUAUGUUGCCAGCGGGUAAUGCCGGGGACUCGUAGGAGACUGCCGGGGUCAACUCGGAGGAAGGUGGGGAUGACGUCAAGUCAUCAUGCCCCUUAUGUCCAGGGCUUCACACAUGCUACAAUGGCCAGUACAGAGGGCUGCGAAGCCGCAAGGUGGAGCGAAUCCCUUAAAGCUGGUCUCAGUUCGGAUUGGGGUCUGCAACUCGACCCCAUGAAGUCGGAGUCGCUAGUAAUCGCAGAUCAGCAACGCUGCGGUGAAUACGUUCCCGGGCCUUGUACACACCGCCCGUCACGUCAUGAAAGUCGGUAACACCCGAAGCCAGUGGCCUAACCUUUUGGAGGGAGUCUGUCGAAGGUGGGAUCGGCGAGUGGGA
rnacentral:rRNA from 1 species